ACACAAACUUGAUCACUGGCUCUGCAUGAUUUAACAGAAGCAACGGAACAGGUUUGCUAAAUUAAACAGGAUAACAGAAGUUUAUUAAAUACACCAUAGCAAGGCUGCUUGCUAUAUACCAUGACAACA